GUCCACGCUGUAAACGUUGAAUACUCGAUCUUAGCGAUACACAGUUAGGAUCCAAGCGAAAGCGUUAAGUAUUCCACCUGGGAAGUACGAUCGCAAGAUUGAAACUCAAAGGAAUUGACGGGGGCCCGCACAAGCGGAGGAGCAUGUGGUUUAAUUCGAUGAUACGCGAGGAACCUUACCUGGGCUUGAAUGUGAGUGACCGAUGCCGAAAGGUGUCUUCCCUUCGGGGCACAAAACAAGGUGCUGCAUGGCUGUCGU
rnacentral:rRNA from 1 species